rnacentral:rRNA from 1 species
GACGAACGCUGGCGGCGUGCUUAACACAUGCAAGUCGAACGGAAAGGCCCUGCUUGCAGGGUACUCGAGUGGCGAACGGGUGAGUAACACGUGGGUGAUCUGCCCUGCACUUCGGGAUAAGCCUGGGAAACUGGGUCUAAUACCGGAUAGGAGCCAUUUUUAGUGUGAUGGUUGGAAAGUUUUUUCGGUGUAGGAUGAGCUCGCGGCCUAUCAGCUUGUUGGUGGGGUAAUGGCCUACCAAGGCGGCGACGGGUAGCCGGCCUGAGAGGGUGGACGGCCACAUUGGGACUGAGAUACGGCCCAGACUCCUACGGGAGGCAGCAGUGGGGAAUAUUGCACAAUGGGCGCAAGCCUGAUGCAGCGACGCCGCGUGGGGGAUGACGGCCUUCGGGUUGUAAACUCCUUUCGCAAGGGACGAAGCUUUUUGUGACGGUACCUAGAUAAGAAGCACCGGCUAACUACGUG